AGUAUUGAUAGCUGUUUUCACAGGUGGAGGACGUAAGAGCCAGAUGAUCAGAUUCUCCAGGAAGCAUACUUUAGGCCUUCUCCAGACUCUGCCAGGCAGUCACAAGUUCCUGGCAUUUCUCAUUUAUUUUCUGAGCUGAUGGAUGCUGGCCCGCAAUCAUUGUCCUUCCUUUAUCCAGGACCCGCUGGACUUGCUGCUUGCUCUCCUAUGGGAUCUACCAUGCACUUACCUCAAGAUGACAUUGCAUGUACAAUGAGUGCAGUUAAGUAUAGAACUAAAAUAGUAUGAGCAUAUGAGAGUUAAAAUAUUCUACUAAGACCACUGCACAAAGCAAAAAAUCUCACUCUUUCUAUUUAGUGUGAGGUAUACCAGCUUUUUUUCCCCACUUUUAAUGGGAAGAGUUAUAAAGUUUCUCAGAAUUGGAAUACUGUAAAACAUGACAAAUUUUGCAGAUCCUACAGGAAUUCAUUGUUUGUUCUGGAAAUCAUCAUCACAUUGUUGACUUGUCUCAAUGUGCUGGAAUCAUACUUCAGCAAGAGCGUGCCACUACAUUUUGCUUGCAACAGCCUUUCUGGAAGUAAAGGAGAACACUGCAGGUGCUAGUUUGCAGACCAA